rnacentral:lncRNA from 8 species
CCCGUACAGUUAGAUCAAUGUGAUCUAGACCAUAGCCAGCCAACCUACAUGGUCUGGUAAUUUGUUUAUGGAAGGUAUCCAUCCUGGCGUUAAGGCUGACAUUAUUUUAGUUGCAGCGCAUAACUAGGCAAACAUUUCGUGUGAUGGGACUCUCCAAACUCUGAAGGUGGUUUGAAUGAUGAGUAUGGAGAGAAGUUAUCAAUGGAGAAGGACAAACAUUUUAACUCAAAGUUCAGUUGAUUUCAGUGCCAGCGCGUAGGAGGAUGUUGAUGCAGCUC